rnacentral:lncRNA from 1 species
CAGCACUCAUCCCAAUUCUAAUAUACACAUAGAUAUAUUAUUUUUUUAGGUGAUUUUUAAAUUACUAUAUUUCAUUUAUUUUUUAAUAAAAAUUCAUACUAAAUUGAUAAUAUGAAUAUUUUAAAAGGGGAAGAUGCUGAGAAAAAGAAUAAAGUAGCUGCAACCUAUUUAGCGCGACUUCUACGCUGUUUCUAUAUCAUAUCGUAUCAUAUCACUUCAUCAUCCUUCUGAUCACUUCUUUUCUUCUUCUCCGUUAACACACACAAACUCAAUAUCCUCUUCCAUUCAAUUCAAUUCAAUCAUGCAUCAAGGAGAUUACACCUCCGCUCCAUACUAUCAAUUCCCUCAUAUGCAGCAAAAC